CGUCACAUAACAUGUGCAUCAUAUCUGAUUGAUAAUCACAUAAUGAUUAAUAGAAUGACCAAGUUGUAAUUCCUGCACUCAGCUGCUGGAGGGUGCUUCUGUAAUGAUUAACACACAUUAACACAUUGAAGAUUAAAGGGUCAGGCAUUUGCACAAUUCAUGUACACUAGCACUGCAGAAAAAUAUAUUGUUAAAGCAUUUGAUUCUCUUUAGCAUCUAGAACUAGUCAACACGGGAAUACAUUGCCAGACAAAUGUUGAGCAGUGCAAACAUCAACAAACAUGUUUCUUAGCCACAGGGAAACUGAUCCGAUAAAUAUAGCGCAUUAUCAUUGGUUUACCUGUUCUAUGUCUACAAACUAACUGGUCCAUUGCCCAAUUUUCACCACAGAGCUUGACACUGUUAGCCAGGACUUUAUUAAGACUAUGAGACUUGGGGCAGUUUUCAAAAGCAGUAGUGUUUUGUGUGAAAUCUUCAUUCUUAACGCCACAGUUUUUAGUUGUAACUAAUCAAGCAGUUGUUCAAAUAUCACAUUAUACACAAUGAGUCAGCAGUGGCUCCAACAGGCCCCGGGUGGUUACUGGCUUUGAAAGAGGGCCAAACUCGCUGUGGUUGAAGUCCAACAAUUGUAAAAGAUAAUUACAAUGUAUUGGCAGUGGCUAGGUUAACCCAUAUGAAAAGGAAAAAAAAAAGAAAAAUAAUAAUACACAAACAUGGCCAUAGGUUCCGAUUAACUGUUGAGAUAAUAACUUACAAAGGGGGAACCAAAGCCAUGGCACUUCAGUGAGUAAAACACA